rnacentral:rRNA from 1 species
CCUAACGGGGGGCAGCAGUGGGGAAUAUUGCACAAUGGGGGAAACCCUGAUGCAGCAACGCCGCGUGAGUGAAGAAGGUUUUCGGAUUGUAAAGCUCUGUUAGCAGGGAAGAGGAAGGACGGUACCUGCAGAGGAAGCCACGGCUAACUACGUGCCAGCAGCCGCGGUAAUACGUAGGUGGCAAGCGUUGUUCGGAAUAACUGGGCGUAAAGGAUGCGUAGGCGGUUAAACAAGUUAUAUGUUAAAUAUAUAGGCUUAACCUGUAGAAAGCAUAUAAAACUGUUUAACUAGAGUGCAGGAGAGGUAAGUGGAAGUCCUAGUGUAGCGGUAAAAUGCGUAAAUAUAUGUAAGAACACCAGUGGCGAAGGCGGCUUGCUGGGUCGAUACUGACAUUGAGGCACGAAAGCGUGGGGAGCAAACAGGAUUAGAUACCCUGGUAGUC